AUGGACGCCAUCGUCGAGCUCGUCGAGCUCUCCGAGUCCAUGCGCCAGGCCGCCUCGCUCCUCGCCGACGACGACCCCUCCGACGACGCCGCCCCGCGCCGCCCCUCCACCUUCCUCAACGCCGUCGCGCUCGGCAACGUCGGGUCCGGCAAGUCGGCCGUGCUUAACUCCCUCAUCGGCCACCCCGUGCUGCCGACGGGGGAGAACGGGGCCACGCGGGCGCCCAUAGUUGUCGACCUGCAGAGGGAUCCGGGGCUCAGCACCAAGUCCAUAGUCCUGCAGAUCGACAGCAAGUCGCAGCAGGUUUCUUCGAGUGCGCUCCGGCAUUCGCUGCAGGAUAGGCUUAGCAAGGCCACCGGACCCGGGAGGAGCAGGACUGAUGAGAUUUACCUCAAGCUGCGGACAAGCACAGCUCCUCCACUAAAGUUGAUUGAUUUACCUGGCAUAGACCAACGAGUUAUUGAUGAUUCAACAAUUAAUGAGUUCGCUGGCCACAAUGAUGCAAUAUUGAUUGUUGUGAUACCAGCAAUGCAAGCCCCUGAGGUUGCAUCAUCCCGGGCUCUUAAACUGGCGAGGGAUAUUGAUCCAGAGGGAACCAGAACAAUAGGUGUCUUGAGUAAAAUCGAUCAAGCCGCAUCAGAUGCAAAAACAGUUGCAUGUGUUCAGGCCAUUUUGUCUAAUAAAGGCCCACGCACAGCAGCUGAAAUUGAAUGGGUUGCUUUAAUAGGGCAAUCUGUUGCAAUUGCGUCAGCUCAAUCAGGGUCAGUUGGGUCUGAGAAUUCACUGGAAACAGCCUGGCGAGCUGAGGCGGAAAGCCUUAAAUCAAUCUUAACCACUGCUCCUCAGAAUAAGCUGGGAAGAAUUGCUCUUGUUGAUACCAUUGCUAAGCAGAUACGUAAGCGGAUGAAAGUGCGGCUACCUAACUUAUUGACUGGGCUUCAGGGCAAGUCUCAGGUAGUGAAAGAUGAACUUGCAAGGCUUGGAGAAUCGAUGGUACAAAGUCCGGAAGGAACCAGGGCUGUUGCUUUGGAGCUGUGCCGAGAAUUUGAAGAUAAGUUUCUCGCUCAUGUUACUUCUGGUGAGGGGUCUGGUUGGAAAAUUGUUGCAAGUUUCGAGGGCAAGUUUCCAGAUAGGAUCAAACAGCUUCCGUUGGACAGGCAUUUUGAUCUGAACAAUGUCAAAAGGAUUGUCUUGGAAGCUGAUGGUUAUCAACCAUAUUUGAUAUCCCCGGAGAAAGGUUUAAAAUCUUUGAUUAAAGGAGUGCUUGAAAUGGCAAAGGAGCCAUCACGACUAUGUGUUGAAGAGGUACACCGUGUAUUGUUAGACAUAGUAAAUGCCACUGCAAAUGGCACGCCAGGGCUCGGAAGAUAUCCUCCGUUCAAACGCGAGAUCAUUACAAUUGCAUCUAAUGCGUUGGAUACAUUCAAAAGUGACGCGAAAAAGAUGGUGGUUGCGCUCGUUGAUAUGGAGCGUGCCUUUGUCCCCCCACAACAUUUCAUCCGUUUAGUACAAAGAAGAAUGGAAAGGCAGCGCCGUGAGGAGGAGGUGAAAACUAAAUCAUCUAAGAAAGCACAAGAUGCUGAGCAAGCCAUGAUGAACAAGGAGCAAGCUAAGUCGUCAAAAGACAAAUCCAAUCAGCAAGAUAAAGAUACCAAAGAGGGACCUAAUCUGCAGGUUGCUGGUCCUGGCGGCGAAAUAACUGCAGGUUACCUAUUGAAAAAGAGUGCAAAAAACAAUGAAUGGAGCAAAAGGUGGUUUGUCCUAAAUGAGAAGAGUGGAAAGCUUGGCUACACCAAGAAACAAGAGGAGAGGCAUUUUCGAGGCGUCAUUGUCUUAGAGGAAUGUAACCUGGAAGAGAUAGAGGAGGAAGAGCUUUCUAAAACUUCUAAGGAUUCAAAGAAGGCGAAUGGGGCAGAGAAAGGCCCAAGUCUCGUAUUUAAGAUUACUAACAGGGUUGCCUACAAAACUGUGCUGAAAGCUCAUAGUGCCGUUGUAUUGAAGGCUGAGAGUAUGGCUGACAAGAUUGAAUGGGUGAAGAAGAUAAAAGGUAUUAUUCAGAGCAAAGGUGGGUCUGUCAAGAGUUCAAAUACUCCUGAGGGCGGUUCCAUGAGACAAAGCCAUUCAGAUGGAUCUCUUGAUACGAUGGCCCGGAGGCCUGCUGAUCCUGAAGAAGAACUCCGAUGGAUGUCUCAAGAAGUUCGCGGUUAUGUUGAGGCUGUGUUGAACAGCCUGGCAGCAAAUGUUCCAAAGGCCAUUGUGCUUUGCCAAGUGGAGAAAGCAAAGGAAGAUAUGCUAAACCAGCUGUACAGCUCAAUAAGUUCACAAAGCAAUGCAAGGAUUGAAGAACUUCUCCAAGAGGACCACAAUGCUAAACGUAGACGGGAAAAGGCCCAAAAACAAUCGACUCUCCUGUCAAAACUUACUCGUCAGCUCAGCGUCCAUGAUAACAGAGCUGCAGCUGCAUCAUAUUCUGAUGAUACUUCUGGUCCGGAGAGUGGCCCACAGAGUCCUGGCCAGUCAGGUGAGGACUGGAGGUCUGCCUUCAGUGCUGCAGCAAAUGGCUCUGCCGACCGAUCCAGUUCACAGAACGAGUCGAGAUCGAGAAGUGCUGACAGUCGUGGUCGGCGGUAUGAAAAUGGGGAUGCCAACGGUGCCAAUUCAGGCAGCCGACGCACACCAAACCGGUUGCCACCUGCACCGCCGAAAUACUAA
rnacentral:rRNA from 1 species